CCUACGGGAGGCAGCAGUAGGGAAUAUUGCUCAAUGGGGGAAACCCUGAAGCAGCAACGCCGCGUGGAGGAUGAAGGUUUUCGGAUUGUAAACUCCUUUUGUUAGAGAAGAUAAGGACGGGAGCUAACGAAUAAGCACCGGCCAACACCGUGCCAGAAGCGGCGGUAAGACGGAGGGUGCAAGCGUUACUCGGAAUCACUGGGCGUAAAGAGCGCGUAGGCGGGAUAGCAAGUCAGAUGUGAAAGCCUAUGGCUUAACCAUAGAACUGCAUUUGAAACUGUGAUUCUAGAGUAUGGGAGAGGUAGGUGGAAUUCUUGGUGUAGGGGUAAAAUGCGUAGAGAUCAAGAGGAAUACUCAUUGCGAAGGCGACCUGCUAGAACAUAACUGACGCUGAUGCGCGAAAGCGUGGGGAGCAAACAGGAUUAGAUACCCUGGUAGUC
rnacentral:rRNA from 1 species